rnacentral:rRNA from 1 species
AUUGAACGCUGGCGGCAGGCCUAACACAUGCAAGUCGAACGAGUGGCGGACGGGUGAGUAAUGUCUGGGACACUGCCUGAUGGAGGGGGAUAACUACUGGAAACGGUAGCUAAUACCGCAUACCAUCGGAUGUGCCCAGAUGGGAUUAGCUGGUAGGUGGGGUAAAGGCUCACCUAGGCGACGAUCCCUAGCUGGUCUGAGAGGAUGACCAGCCACACUGGAACGGAGAAAAGGUCCAGACUCCUACGGGAGGCAGCAGUGGGGAAUAGUGCACAAGGGGCGCAAGCCUGAUGCAGCCAUGCCGCGUGUAUGAAGAAGGCCUUCGGGUUGUAAAGUCCUUUCAGCGGGGAGGCGUUACCCGCAGAAGAAGCGCCGGCUAACUCCGUGCCAGCAGCCGCGGUAAUUC